rnacentral:rRNA from 1 species
UACGGGGGGGGGUAAGCGUUGUUCGGAAUUACUGGGCGUAAAGGGCUCGUAGGUGGCCAACUAAGUCAGACGUGAAAUCCCUCGGCUUAACCGGGGAACUGCAUCUGAUACUGGAUGGCUUGAGAUUGGGAGAGGGAUGCGGAAUUCCAGGUGUAGCGGUGAAAUGCGUAGAUAUCUGGAGGAACACCGGUGGCGAAGGCGGCAUCCUGGACCAACACUGACGCUGAGGAGCGAAAGCCAGGGGAGCAAACGGG